rfam:Citrus sinensis cultivar Ridge Pineapple sweet orange scaffold00023_contig_122, whole genome shotgun sequence.
AUACUUACCUAGACGGGGUGGUCAAUGGGUGAUCAGAAAGGCCCAUGGCCUAGGUUGGUGGUCUCCGUUGUACUUGGGAGUUGCCCCAUUCUAAGGUCUCCCCAGUAAGGGAGAGCCUACGUCAUAAUUUGUGUUAGCGGCCAAUUCUUUAGAUGAAAUAUUUGCCC